GCCAACGUAGCUCAGCCGGUAGAGCAGCUCACUCGUAAUGAGCAGGUCGUGGGUUCGAGUCCCACCGUUGGCU
rnacentral:tRNA from 1 species